AACUGAUUUCAUGAUCCCAAUCCUUGCGUCUCUUCCUAUCUAGACGAGCGCUAAUUCCCUUCAUGGUGGCAUCAGCUCCUCGUGACUAGCAGCGCACCUUCUGAAAAGAAGCCCCAGGAAUGUCUCAGCUACAGCCAUCCCAAAGUACGCCCCCUUCCUCAGGUGGGCUUGUCUUUUCCUUUGGGCUCCGAGACCCUGUCCUCCAGCUGGGGCCAACCAGCAACAAUGGACCAGAGUCACAGCGCCUCUCUGGAUGCAGGAUGCUCUGAGCUGUAAAGUCACCCCAAAGGCUCAGCAUUGUCAUCACCAUCAUCAAUCACCAUCGCCACCAUUUGCCUUCAAAACAGCCUUACAGUUGGAUCUGUCUGGAUUUGAAUUCCAGCUCUGCUGUGUGAACACUACCUGUGUGCUGCGGCCAGGUCCCUGGGUUCCUGAGCCUCAGUCUUCCCCCCUGCAGAAUGGGGACAAUAGUGGACCAUAGGCAAGGUGAGCUUUUAGUAGGAAGGUGAGUGCACAGCCCAAGCGGUGCCAGCCAUAUCACAAUAAUGCACAUCUUUAAUAAGUGGUGUUGAGUCAGUGGGAUAUCCAUAUGGAUCUAACUGAAUUUCUAUCCCAUCCUCAAUGUAAUGGAACAAGACCCUAUGGUGCCUCCCCAGCACAGAACGCCCCCUCCCCAAAUCCAGCCCCUGCCUUCAUGUCCUCUGCCUUCCUUUUGUAUGUAGAAAAAUUUUAGUCAAAUAAUACAUUUAAUCAGAAAAAGGAGAAAAGCACAGAAGCAAAGGGAAAUAGUCAAACAAGGCAAAAUAAUAAUAAGUUAGUCUUUAAACAAAGUCAAGGAGCUUUAGUUCCCCUUCAAGGACUAUAGAUAAUGUUCUGAGCUGUGUCCUUUGAGCUGUUUUGCAGGUACUGAAACCCUCACCAAGUGGAAGGAGUUAGCUACACGAUGACCAGAUUAUAGUGAAGACAGAGCGUGUUCCCUCGCACAUGGUUCAGGGAGCUAGCCUCAAGGAAAUGGGAACAAACCGACCUUGGAACCGGAGAUCAUCUGUACUUAAAACAAUCAAGAUGAUGCUGGUCAGACCACCACAUAGCUGAUUUCAAGAUGAUUGUCAGAGCUGACUGUGCUGUUCUGAAAAUAGCCACCCUCUCUCCCCCACCUAAGCACCCCGGAAAUUCCUCUUUACAAACUUGUCCCUUGAUCAGCAACGGGAAGUUAGUUCUUUGGGGCAUGAGUCCACCUUCUUCCCAGGAUUGCCAGGUUCCUUGAUAAAGCUGCCUUUCCUUUUACCUAA